UACGUAGGGGGCAAGCGUUGUCCGGAAUCAUUGGGCGUAAAGCGCGCGUAGGCGGCCCGAUAAGUCCGCUGUAAAAGUCAACGGCUCAACUGUUGAACGCCGGUGGAUACUGUCGGGCUAGAGUCCGGAAGAGGCAAGUGGAAUUCCGGGUGUAGCGGUGGAAUGCGUAGAGAUCCGGAAGAACACCGGUGGCGAAGGCGGUCUGCUGGGCAGUUGCUGACACUGAGGCGCGACAGCGUGGGGAGCAAACAGG
rnacentral:rRNA from 1 species